GAGGUUUUUUUUUUUUUUUUUUUUAAUUUUUGGCCGCACCCUACCAGUGGCAUGUGGUUAAUUCCCUGACCCUGACCAAGGAUGGAACUCACUCCUGCCCUCUGCAUUGGAAGGCAGAGUCUUAACCACAGGAUCCCCAGAGAAGUCCCCAAAGUGGGUUUUUUAUGCGUUUUUCAAUUCUGUCCUUACACACCCUUGGGGAAUAUCCAGCAUCUUUUAACUCCAUUUGACAAAGGAGCAAAGAGAAAAGUUAUUGCAGAAUAUUGAGACUAUUACAGACUGUUGAAGAAAGAGGGCGGCAGAGGAUGAAAUGGUUGGAUAGCAUCACUGAUUCAAUGGAUAUGGACUUGGGCAAACUCAAUGAAAUAAUGAGGGACAGGGAGGCGUAGCAAA